GUAUGGUGCAAGCGUUAUCCGGAUUUACUGGGUGUAAAGGGAGCGUAGACGGCUGUGCAAGUCUGAAGUGAAAGGCCGGGGCCCAACCCCGGGAGUGCUUUGGAAACUGUGCGGCUAGAGUGUCGGAGAGGCAAGUGGAAUUCCCAGUGUAGCGGUGAAAUGCGUAGAUAUUGGGAGGAACACCAGUGGCGAAGGCGUCUUGCUGGACGAUGACUGACGUUGAGGCUCGAAAGCGUGGGUAGCAAA
rnacentral:rRNA from 1 species